rnacentral:lncRNA from 1 species
CGGGCGGCCUAAGCGUGCACCGGGGAAUUCCACCCACUGAGCUGCGAGCGUGCGGAGGGCGUGUCGCGUUCUUUGGGGGCGCCCGACGUUUGUCCUCCAUGAGGAUGCUCCAAUGCUACCUGGCUCGCUUGCACAGGUGAGGUGGAUGACAGCAAGGCGGCGGAACACAGGCCCAGGGGACCUGGCAGGGCGGUGUGUUCGGCGCGGGCCGCGACCCUCAGGCCCGGCUCGGGCGCCUCCAGCCCUCCGGGGCGACCGAAGGUCAGGGACGGAAGGGGUGCGGCGGGGGGUCCUGCCGCGUCCCCGCACCCUCCCGCCAGCCGUCGAAGCGGCAGGUGUCCCCUCGUCCUACCUCGGCUGGCACCGCGGCCCCCGCUUUCAGGUGAAGGAAGGCGGCUCCUCUUCGACUGCGCGGCGGGUCUCCUCCUUCCCCGUACCGGGACGCCCGAAAGCAGCCGCUCUCUGCCUCAGGUCUGCCACCAGCCCGGUUCCCGCGAACCGGAGGGAGGGGAGCCGCUCCAGGAAGUGACGUCACACCACGUCGCCGCCCCCGAAGGCUCGCGCUACAGUUGUUGGUCCCUAUCUCUGCAGCAGCCAGAACAAAUCUAAUUUCCUCGAGGGGAAUCGAUGGUUUUGUUCCACAGACUUUACUAUUAAAAGUGACUUCCUGAGAAAUGGAGCUACGAUAUCGAGUUUGCCAAGUAGGCGACACAAAGACUUCAAUUCCCAGGAGGCACUGUGGGUAUCCUAGGUUCAGGCUCGAGCUUUGCAUCAUGGGAUUUGUAGUUAUCACUGGCUUGGGGUUCUCUCAAAGAGGCUUCCAACAGAAGGUGUGGCCCAGAUUAAAGGUCUGUAUUAAAGGCCCAUGUCAUCCACCGUCAAGACCCGGAUCAAAGACAUGUUGUCUUCCUGCUUCAAUUCUGGAUCACAGGUGGCACUCUCGUAAUCUUGCUAUUUAGGAUCUGUACUGUACUUGCUCUCCUUUGUCACUUUCAUGACAUUGUGAGUCUAGAGAAAGAACCACAGGUGAUCUCUUUCUGGAGCUCUGGGAGGUCAACAAAGCAGCAGCGUGGCGACAUGACACAUGACACUAUCCCCAUGAAUCUGUGACCUCUCCAGCUUCUUACAUUCAGAGUGACAAUCAUUUGAAACUCGUAAUGGCUCUGAGAUGACUGCUGCCAUUGGUUAUUUUUCAUGCUGUGUGGAAAUCCUCCUACUGGGAACAUAUCAAAGUGAUACAAAACUUCCCUCAAAAUUACAUUCAUAGCUUUGGACCUGAGAACAUGAAUGCUGUCCACAGGAAAAGCCUUUGUUCUCCUGAGAAGAAUCUUAUCCAUUUUCUUGGGCUCAGACGGCCAGUUCAUACUUCCUUCUUCUCUGAAUGCAGCUACACUCUGUUGUUUUUAGGUGUCUUUGACUUUCCAAUGGUUAACUUCUGCUGCAUUUUCAAAUAGUACCUGACACUUGGGAGAUUAUUGUGCACUUUAUAUAUAAGGACUGUCUCUGCACUGGGCCUUUAGGAGUUAGCAGGAAUUGUUAAAGGAGGGAGGGUGGUCUUUUUACAUAUAGUGAAAGGCUUGAGAGAGGACACAGCACCAAGUGUGAGGUGUUGAGGGUUAGGGGUUAGGGAACUGAUGGAACUGAAAGGUGUUUGUAGGCUGUCACUAGACAUAGAGAUGAGCUUCUGAUUGUCCUUCAGACUACCUCAAAUGUGACCUUAUCAGUAAUGGCUUCCUGUUCACCCUAGAUGGAAUUCAGAAAGCCACCCUCUAUUGUUCUUGGUUCAUGAAUGUAGGCUGACAUCAUAUUAUAUCAUAGGUGCUUACUGGUUGAGCCUCAGAACUGGACUAUGUAUUAGAUAUCUAUCUGCCCACAAAGCUUUAACACCAAAUAAGGCAUACUCCCCAUAAUUUCAAUUUUUAAAAAUACCUGGUUCUUUUUCCACGUUUACAUUUUCACCAGAUAUUUUAGAUAUUUGUACUUCUAGUUCUAAUUUUUUUCUUAAGCUUUGAUGAUGUAUCUAGUUCUAAUUUGCAAAGCAAAAUCUAAAUACUUUUCAGAGACCUAUGAGCUCCAUCCCAAAAUUUAAUUAUCCCCAGAACAAUCAGCUACUUACCGGAAACCUACCAUAGGGAAUGCACCUCAAAGGCCAGCUGUACCCAUUAUUUGACACGCUGAGUGCUCGUCUUUCUCUUUAUAUGAUUUUCUGAUGCUUUUGCCUCUGACUUUCCUGUGUCCUGCAUGCCAGUUAAGGGGCUGAGCCUUAGGCCAGUCACUUUACACCAUUCCCACAUUCCUUUUGACAAACCCCUGUGUGGCUUUGCCUUCAUCUCCACCAAACAGGAUUAUCUCUGUGUUAACCUGUUGGACCAGAUUAUAAACACCUUGAGGGCAAGAAAGAUGGGUUUUCUUCUCCACUGGUUGGCAGAACCUCCAACUAAGUUCUGUAGGGCUAAGUUGAACAAAUAAAUGAAUGUAAAUAAGUGAAAGAAAUUUUCAUAUUUUUUGUUUUGUCUUUUCUUCUGAUUAGGGAUUCUAACACCCACACCUUUUCAGUGGAAUUUUGUUUUGAAGAAACAUAUGUAAGCUGUAAGAACAAAAUCAGAGCAACUGUGAUGAAAGAGAAUAAAUACUAUUAAUUACUGAGGGUAAUUAAUUGUAAGCUACUAGAUUGGCCAUGGGACUUAUAAGGCCUACUUCAGAUCUGACACUUGGAGUUUAUGUUACUUAGAGUCAGAAGUGUAUCUCAAACCAAACACCAUAGUCUAGUUAGCAGCACUAAGAUCCAUAAAAAACCUUAGGAGAGUGAACGUAAAUUAAAAACUAGGAAGUCAGACUUCUGAACUUAAGCAGACCAAUGAAUCAGACUGCAUUGCACUUUUACAGCUUUGUCUUAAGUUGGUUUGAGAAAUGUUCCUGGCAUAUGACUAAAUUGAAAUCUCUAAGUUCCAC